rnacentral:rRNA from 1 species
CAGCCGUAAACUAUGCGCGUUAGGUGUACUGGUGACCACGAGUCACCGGGGUGCCGAAGGGAAACCGUGAAACGUGCCGCCUGGGAAGUACGGUCGCAAGGCUGAAACUUAAAGGAAUUGGCGGGGGAGCACCGCAACGGGAGGAGCGUGCGGUUUAAUUGGACUCAACGCCGGGAAGCUCACCGGAUAAGACAGCGGAAUGAUUGCCGGGCUGAAGACCCUGCAUGACCAGCUGAGAGGAGGUGCAUGGCGUAGUCGUGU